GACGAACGCUGGCGGCGUGCUUAACACACGCAAGUCGAACGAAGAGCGAUGGAAGCUUGCUUUUAUCAAUCUUAGUGGCGAACGGGUGAGUAACGCGUAAUCAACCUGCCCUUCAGAGGGGGACAACAGUUGGAAACGACUGCUAAUACCGCAUACGAUCUGACUUCGGCAUCGAGGAUAGAGAAAGUGGCCUCUAUUAUAAGCAUCACGAAGGAGGGGAUGCGUCUAUAGCUAGUGGAGGGUAACGGCCACCAAGGCGAUGAUCAGUAGCCGGUCUGAGAGGAUGAACGGCCACAUUGGGACUGAGACACGGCCCAGACUCCUACGGGAGGCAGCAGUGGGGAAUCUUCCGCAAUGGACGAAAGUCUGACGGAGCAACGCCGCGUGAGUGAUGACGGCCUUCGGGUUGUAAAGCUCUGUUAAUCGGGACGAAAGGCCUUCUUGCGAAUAGUUAGAAGGA
rnacentral:rRNA from 1 species